GCUUUAAAAUAGUUCCUUUAGGUUGUUAUAUUUAUAACAAGAGAUCCGUUACGACAAUAGUUAUCUUGACUGAUACAGUUAAGUCACAACACAGCUAACAAAACUACCAGUCUAGUGUUCAGUUCAUCAGUUUACUGACAAUACAAGGCUAAUCCAACUGAUACAAUACAUCUCUAACGCAUGUGAACUUGUAUCGGCUCAGCAAUCCUGAUUUUAAGCCUUCUAAAUGUUGUAAAACAUUUUUUUUGUUUCUAUUUUUCAUUGUUUCGAGAGAGGAAAACACGCUAUUCUUAGCGAUCAAUAUAUAUGCUAUUUGUCUUGCAUUUCAGUUAUUUAUACCAGAUGCUAGUUAUUGACCUGCUCUACUGUAUCUGCCUACAUUAGGUGGGGCUAUCAAUCACGUGGUGAUUUUUGGGAUAAAAGCCACUUAAUGCGACAAAUUGAGAAGUAUGCAGAUAUGUAUACCUCUAGGGUGUCAAACUUUCUAUAUUACACACCCUUUAUGUAUUUCCGCUCACAGGAGCAGAACCUUGCACAUGAUUCAUACACACACUAUUGUUCUCAAGUGGAUCACUUUCCUUCCAAUGGAAAAUUGGACUAAAAACAGAGGAUAAACAGAAUAAGUCUAUGAAUUAUGUACUAUAUUAUUUAAAUUAAUAACAAGUCUAUGAAAGACCUUAGAUAUCGUGUUUCAGAAUUCUUUAAAAGUCCCCGUAUAAAUCGAGAUUAUUUGUAUUUUGGGUCAACAAUAAGGAUGGCGAGGUAAGGUGCUUUCCCUACACUAAGGGGUGUUUUAGUUGACUUUUUGUUUCAAUGAGAGAAAUAAAUGGAAGAGAUUGUGUUUCGGACUGAA